AGAGAGAUGGGAGAGGGCAUGGCGCCGGGAAAUUCUUGCCCUUGAAGCUACGCCCCCUCAUGGACCCGGAAAGAGAACACAUUCCCUCAGUAUGUUUUUCAAAUGAGCAGAAAAUGAACCAGUCUUUGUCUACAUUACCUUUAUUAACUUUACCUGACAGAAGAAUGUAACCAUCAGCACCCUUUACCUGGCCUGAAAAUUGUGUUCCCAUGCCUUUAAUUAAUGGAGGACAAUGCCUUAAAAAUAAGGCUUUCCCAAUGCAGAGAGCAUCCUGCUAAUAGAUUGAAGUAAGGAAGACAUAAGACAUCAAUCAACUUGAGUAAAAUGAACAUUGGCCGUGUUCAGAAAGGCUGCGACAACGCGAAGCCAAGGUAGG